CCUUUGACGUUAGCGGCGGACGGGUGAGUAACACGUGGGCAACCUACCCUAUAGUUUGGGAUAACUCCGGGAAACCGGGGCUAAUACCGAAUAAUCUCUUUUGCUUCAUGGUGAAAGACUGAAAGACGGUUUCGGCUGUCGCUAUAGGAUGGGCCCGCGGCGCAUUAGCUAGUUGGUGAGGUAACGGCUCACCAAGGCGACGAUGCGUAGCCGACCUGAGAGGGUGAUCGGCCACACUGGGACUGAGACACGGCCCAGACUCCUACGGGAGGCAGCAGUAGGGAAUCUUCCACAAUGGGCGAAAGCCUGAUGGAGCAACGCCGCGUGAGUGAAGAAGGUUUUCGGAUCGUAAAACUCUGUUGUAAGGGAAGAACAAGUACAGUAGUAACUGGCUGUACCUUGACGGUACCUUAUUAGAAAGCCACGGCUAACUACGUGCCAGCAGCCGAA
rnacentral:rRNA from 1 species